rnacentral:sRNA from 1 species
CUCCAUCCCUAGAACCAAAAGCACAGGUCAUUGGAGAAGUGUUGCCACCAAAGAGCAGGCUCUACUCCCUUCCGUGCCUGUGUAACCUGCAGGACUCUGCACAAAAGCUACAGUUGCCUGGAAUCAGGUUUGAAUCCCAGGGGUGACUGUGUUUGACCUCUCAGAACCUCAUCUCUCUCCUUUGACAGGCAUAGCCCAGGCUGGCAAAACCACCUCAGGGACAGGACAUUUGCCUAUACCGUGAAUAGCUUUGGGCUUGCAGGACUAACAGGAAAGGAGAAUGGCAAAUGUUCACAGGGCUUGGCUUGUGUCCAUAUUUCUUGGCCAUUGUUCCUCCUGGUGACUUAUUUCGCACAGCCUCCUGCAUGUCUCUGUGUAAAUAAAGACACUUUAGAGGAGAGCCAGCAGAAAUGAGGCUUCGUGUUCUUUGUUCCUCUUCUUCCUGGAAAAGGCUUCCAAGAACUUCUAGCCAUGGGAAGUGAGCAAACAAGGGUGAUAUUAAUCUGUAAAAAAAACAAACCAGGUUUUCCCUUUCUCCAGCAGCUGGGCACAAGUCCACUCCCUGGUAACUCUACCCCCAAUCAAUGUACAACCAGAGCUUCCUGUUCCGACCUGUAAACAAGACCCCUGUAAACAAGCCAGGUUUCCAGGCCUCUGGGAUUUCCUCAGCUGCUCACUCUCCCAGGAGAACCAGUGACAGCUGCCAAGCCUCCCGCCGAGUCCAGGAAGCAAGGUGUACACUUCAAGGUCUGCCAGCCGCUUCUUUUUGCGUUUCUAAGUCAAGUGUCUCGAACAUUUGAAGACACCUGCACCAUUGCCAAGCCAAAGGAGGGUUGAAAAGAAAACAGGAGACUAAAGACAAGGAAACAGACUCUGAGAGAUUAAGCAACUCGUCCAAGCUUACUCAACCAGUAGAUGUGGGAGGCCUGACAACCCACCCUGUGUUUCUAUUUCACAAGCUAACGCCCCAGCCACCGGGGCAACUGUUCCUGGGAAUGGAGGAUGUGAGCUCUCAGCUACUGCUCCAGAGUCAUGCCUACGGGUCUGCUGCCAAGUUCCCCCGCCAUGAUGGUCAUGCUCGACAACCCUUUGAAACUGUAAGCAAGCCCCUUGUGAGCUCUUCGCACGUAAGGAUUGCCCUGGUCGUGGUGUUUUGUCAUGGCAAUAGGAAAGUAACUGAGACACCCACCACCACAAUUCCCUCCAAUUUCAUGUGUUCUUUUUCCUUUAAUACCACUGAGUGUACUUAGUGCUGCCAGUAAGGGCUGCCAGUACAGGGCCAUCUACGGAAGUAUGGGUAGCCACUCAGGGGUUGCAGCCCCGAGAAAAUGGUCUCCCCCUUUCCGAGUAGGUCCUCAGACAGGGGUGGGACCUCACUGUUGUAAAAAUA